rnacentral:snRNA from 1 species
UGUGCUCGCUUCGGCAGCACAAUACGCUAAAACAGGAACAAAACGGAGAAGAUUAGUGUGGCCCCUGAGCAAGGAUGACAUGCAAAUGCAUGAAGCAUUCCAUAUUCUC